CCCUCUUACAACCUUUUACAAACAGUUCAACCUCUUACAAAUUUUCAAUAAGAAAGAAGGAGGAGAACUCUCUAGCAAAUUGAAAACAAGACUUGCUAAGACUUUCUAAGACUUUCUCUCAAUCAAAAUGCUUCUCAAAAGUUGUAACCUCAGCUGAGAUUUGAGGGGUAUUUAUAGGCCUCAAGAGGAUUCAAAUUUUGGGCUCCAAAAUUUGAAUUUUCUUAGGGUUCUCGGUGCUGGAGGUGCCACCGCCCAGCCAGGCGGUGCCACCGUCCAG
rnacentral:lncRNA from 1 species